rnacentral:rRNA from 1 species
UACGGAGGGUGCAAGCGUUAAUCGGAAUUACUGGGCGUAAAGGGCACGCAGGCGGUUUUUUAAGUUAGAUGUGAAAUCCCCGGGCUCAACCUAGGAAAUGCAUUUGAAACUGGCAAUCUUGAGUAUGGUAGGGGGGGGUAGAAUUCCAGGUGUAGCGGUGAAAUGCGUAGAGAUCUGGAGGAAUACCGGUGGCGAAGGCGGCCCCCUGGACGGAGACUGACGCUCAGGUGCGAAAGCGUGGGGAGCAAACAGG